rnacentral:rRNA from 1 species
GUUGUAUGGUUAAGUGACUAAGCGUAUACGGUGGAUGCCUUGGCAAAUAGAGGCGAUGAAGGACGUGUAAGUCU